CUCUCUCUCUUUCUCUCUCAAUCGAAGGGAAACAAGUCUGCUCUUGAACCCUAAACAACCUGUGAACCCCACAGGAGCACCAACCCAACGCUGGCGAGGAAGACGACGAUCAGAAUCCCCAAGGUUUUGGCGUCGAAGAAGGUGUGGCCGUAGACGUAGAGGCGGCGAGGAGGGAGACUAGGGUGAGGAGAGAGAACGGGUGGGAGAAGAGUGAAAAGGCGAGGGCGGAAGUAGGAGGCGUUCUUGCGGACGAUGGAGGAGGUGACGGUGAGGGUGUCGGGCUGGAAGAAGGCGGUGUGGUUGGCGAGCUCCAGCCAGGGGCAGCGAAUGUGUGCAAGGCCAUGGCUAGAAAACCCCUUUUAGUUUAAUUUCAGAUCUGGAGAUGGUAAGAAAGUGGCAACUCAAGUUCUUUUUCAGGAGAUGGAACAUGGAUUUUCUUGCGCAUUGAGUAGAUAGCCCGACUGAAACCCGAAAGAAACCAGGCUGAAAACCAUGAUGGAAGAGGAACAAAUAGAAUUCGAGCCCAAUGAAGAGGAAUCGGUGAUGAAACUAGAAAAGGCUCCGGUUGAGUUAAACCGAACACUGCCACUGGUUAGUUUCAAAAGGUAAAAAAAUUCAACGAAAGUAUUGCAUUCAAUGAAGUAUUGUGUAAAGUAUGGUUUGUUUGUUGGAUCCAUAAUAGAUUAAGCCAUUUAAUUUAAUAUCUUCAUUUGGUUUCUUGCUUCAAGGUAUCUGGGUGCUUUUAGUUCUUUCCAAUUGAGUGAGGUCUAUAGCCCUUGAGGCGAUUAUACGGAUCAAAAAAAAGAUUGAGGGAGUUCUGUAUGAUCAAAUAUUUUUUUAGUGAGGUCUAUAUGUGUAAUCAGGGAAAAAAUGCUUGGAGCGGUGCGACGCGCCCACUUUAGCAGCACGGAGGUUAUGGUUAUGCCCUUUUCGGUUACUGUGUUCCAUGAUAUGGUUAUCUUUGAACUCUAUGAUAACACACUUGAGAUAAAUUUCAAUGGAAGUAUUGCAUUCAAUGAAGUAUCACUUAAGAUAAUGCCAGCGUUCUUAAACUCGGUAUUCCUCGCCGAGUACUCAAUCCAAGGUGCCUGGCCAAGGGGACUAAUCCCCUACUUGGUGGGCAUUACUCACCGACUAACGCAGAGUACUCACUUCAAGGUGCCUGGUCGAGCGAGUAGCGAGUUUUAGAACACUGGAUAAUGCACACAAAUUUAAAAUUCAAACAUCUCACUGCCUCUUAAACCUUUUUUAUUUUUUCUUUCUAGAAAUGAAGCUAUGACUGAGCUGUGGUGUGAAAUUACUUAAGGUAAUUUCUUUGAAAUUAUUUUCCUGCAUAAUACAGGUUUGUUUAUCUUACAAUUCCUUUCUGACCCUAUGUGACUAUAGUUUGCAGGAAUGAAUCUGCGUACGUCUAUAUCUAUUUGUGGUCACUAAUAUAAAAAAGAGGUAAAGAAGUUUGUGCUUCAUGAUCUUCACUGAUACAAAUCAUGGAUGGUUUGUUUCUAAAACGUCCUUCAAACCCAACAUUCUUCCUUUUUGACAGAAAAAUAUCCACAAUAUCGCGUCGAUAACAUUACAUCGGUUGUUACGAUUAUUUUUGCAUUUAGUGAAAACUGAAAAUGACACCUUUUUUUGUAGAUGAAAUGAUGCCAGCAUAACAUUUUGGACACUUUCAUGAAAAAUUAAUAAUUUGAACUUCGGAGUAUAUUUCAUCGGGUGCCGCUUCUCUGAUUGGGGUAUCUAUUUGUCUCUCUUCUUGGCCAGUAGGGAUGCCGUAUAUCUUUCGGGAUUGCUUUGUGGUUGGGCUGCCAUUUAGCUGUUUUUGCUGCUGCAUUUGCUGUUGUUGGUUGCAUCUGUUGUAGUGCCUUUGUUUUGCUGGCUGUUUUUCGUUGUUGCUAGAUGGCUGGGGCGUAGACUUUGGUCCAAAAUCACAUCAACUGAAAUUACCACAGGGAGUUCCAAUCACUGAUACAAUGUCACUUGCAUCUAUUUUUAAUAUACACAUAAAUAGUAUAAUGAUGUGGCUGAUUUCUAGCUGGUAAAACAUAUCUUGCAUCUUUUUUACUAUACACAUGAAUAGAUAUAAUGUUGUCGCCAAUUUCUAGCUGGUGUGGAAUGCACAGUUUAAUAGAUCAUGCCAGGCAAAACUAAAAAAAUUAUUUAUGCAAAAGGUUUAGUUGGUGGUGGUUUCAGCUUGGAACCCGUAACUGUUAGAUCUUGGAAAAAUGAAAAAAUUUGUCCAACAACAUCUAAUAUGUAAAAUGUAUAAAAAUAAGACUUAGAUUAACCCUCACCGUAGUCAUGUGACGCCGUUGGGGUGCUUCGUAUUAGAUUUGAUGCUUUUUCCAAUUCGUCUGUCCAUGAUCAUUGGUCAUUAUGAAUGGUACAUUAAGCUAAUUGAGAAGGCUGCAACAAUAAGCUUAUGAGGUUUUGUUUGCACACUAGAUUUGAGUUUCAAUUGUUUGUCAUCUUUAUGAACGGUUUGUAUAUUGGUUGUAUUGUACAGGGAUUGAGAUAUUGGAUAUAGUUUCAUGGAAAUGAUGGUCUUAGGUUUAUUUACUUCUGUAAGGUUUGUUUAGGAAUAACUUCCAGUUAGAGCCAUUAUCCUGUUAUGUUCUCAAACUUGGUGCCCUUGGUCGAUAUACUUGCCAUUGAGUGACUUACAAUUUUCUUGCAUAAUGCGGUUUAACAUGAAAUUGACUACUUCGAAAUUAAUUGCUUGCUUUGGUGGAGUGCAUAGAGAUGACGGUUGCAUUAUCGCGCGAGCAUGGAAGCUGAACUUCGGGGGGUUAGCCCCAAGACUUGGAUACAUCUGGGGACAAGGACCGACUCAAGUAGAAAUAGGGGGCUGAAUGAGGUGAAUCUGAUCAAAGAAAACCAGCUUCAUAGCAAUCUAAUCAAGGAAUGCAAGAUCAUGAUGUAUUGUAGUAAUAGGCUAACAACUCUAAAAAAAAAAAACAAAACAAAAACAAAGUGAGGGCAACAAAGUGACUGAUGUCUUGGAAGAUAUAGGAAUUGAACGGAAAGAAAUGGUUUCCUUUGAAACCCCACAGCUCUUUGUUCACAAGAAAAAUCUCCUUGCAACUGAUAGUGUAUGGGUUAUAUUUGAGAGACCAUGUGGCCUUCUCUGUUUUGUUUUUGUUUUUGUUUUUUUUUUUCUAUCUUUUAUGUUUUUGUUUUGGUCAUUUCCUCUUAUGGUCAUGUGUUGUGUGUUGCAUUGCUUUGGUUGUUGGCUUCAAUCAAAAUGGAAGAGAAAGUGAGUGGAUGCACAAUAUGAAUUCAUGUAGAAAUCCAAUCUGAUUGUAAUACAUUCCUAUUUUAAAUAGUACAUACACUCUAAAUUUGUAGGUAGUGCUGUCGGCACGAGUAAUUGGUUUGUUUUUCGUGAUGAUAAAUUAUGAUGGUAUGUUCAUUUGGGCACGAUCAGUUUGUUCACACAUAACUAAGGUCACUCAAAUGUGUUUGGGUUAUUGUUUUUUGCAUAGUUGAAUUCGUUAGGUAGUGGAUGAUAUAUUACACGUGAGUUCAGUGUUUAUUUGCGUGUGCCAAUCGUUCAACCCGUGCCUUCAAGCACAGGCAUACACUAGUAUUUAUCUAUUAUGCCAUGGUAUUUCAUAAAAAAAUAAAAUAAAAUAAAAGUUGAAUACCCAGCAA